rnacentral:rRNA from 1 species
AUUGAACGCUGGCGGCAGGCCUCACACAUGCAAGUCGAACGAGUGGCGGACGGGUGAGUAAUGUCUGGGAAACUGCCUGAUGGAGGGGGAUAACUACUGGAAACAGUGGCUAAUACCGCAUACUAUCAGAUGUGCCCAGAUGGGAUUAGCUAGUUGGUGGGGUAAAGGCUCACCAAGGCGACGAUCCCUAGCUGGUCUGAGAGGACGACCAGCCACACUGGAACUGAGACACGGUCCAGACUCCUACGGGAGGCAGCAGUGGGGAAUAUUGGACAAUGGGCGCAAGCCUGAUGCAGCCAUGCCGCGUGUAUGAAGAAGGCCUUCGGGUUGUAAAGUACUUUCAGCGGGGAGGCGUUACCCGCAGAAGAAGCACCGGCUAACUCCGUGCCAGCAGCCGCGGUAAUAC